GACGAACGCUGGCGGCGUGCUUAACACAUGCAAGUCGAACGGAAAGGCCCUGCUUUUUUGGGGUGCUCGAGUGGCGAACUGGUGAGUAACACGUGAGUAACCUGCCCUUCACUUUUGGAUAACUUCAGGUAACUUGGUCUCAUACCGGAUAGGAGCUCCUGCUGCAUGGUGGGGGUUGGAAUGUUUCGGCGGUUGGGGAUGUACUCGCGGCUUAUCAGCUUGUUGGUGGGGUAGUGGCUUACCAAGGCUUUGACGGGUAGCCGGCAUGAGAGGGUGACCGGCCAAAUUGGGACUGAGAUACGGCACAGAAUCCUACGGGAGGCAGCAGUGGGGAAUAGUGCAGAAUGGGCGGAAGCAUGAUGCAGCAAAGCAGCGUGCGGGAUGACGGCCUUCGGGUUGUAAACCGCUUUCGCCUGUGACGAAGCGUGAGUGACGGUAAUGGGUAAAGAAGCACCGGCUAACUACGUG
rnacentral:rRNA from 1 species